AACCACUUGACCAGGCAGCCAUCCAUGUACGAGGCAGUUCAAAGCUUAGAAAAAAAAUAAAAAAUGUCCUCUAAUUCAAAUCCUUACGUUAGAUCUAAUGGUUUAAUUUAAAACUAUUUAUAAUGAAUGGCUACAUAUCAAUUACAAGUAAAGAUCUAUUAUUAAUGCAAUGGGCUUGAAUGGGUAAUUUAUCAUGAAGAAUAAUCUUUUGAAAAGAAAACCCUAAAUUCUGUUUCAUUUUGACCGGGGCUGCUCUGUCUAAUUGUAAACCAUGUGGCGGCCAUGUUCAUGAUUUAAUGUAACAAUAAAUUAUCUUUUUCCUCUAAAUCUAGAUUAUCAGUUCAAAAUCUUCUACUCGACGUCUAUAUCUAUAAAUCCUUUAUAACUAGUUCAGUCCUAGUCUAAAAACCAAUGUUACGACUCAAUUCAAUAAUUCAUGUUGAUGGGUCUAGACUGAAUCGAUUUAAGAUAAUUUAUCUUAUCGUAAUUACUAAUUUUAUUAGAUUUAUUUAAAUAGAACUAAUAAUUUAAAAUUUAGAUAGAUCUAUCUAGACUAGUUACUAGAUCUAUAGAAAUUCUCAAUCAAGAUUAUCUAAAUCUAUAUAGAUCAAGAAGAAGAACAGUUUAAAGAAAAUAAUACCAGGGUUAUGCUCCUUUCACCGUUGAGUUCCAGGAUGAAGAAUGAAAGACAGAGAGCAAUGUGAAGACAUCAAAGAAUGUGCAGGUCUGCCAUGAAAUGGUUUAUCCAGGGCUAAGUACAGAGAGGAAUAUAGAAGGGCUGUUGACAGAUCUUGUGUGGUGCCCCCAUGGUUCAACAGACUGAUUGAUAGAAAAUAAUACCAGGGUUAUGGUCCUUUCACUGUUAAGUUCCAGGAUGAAGAAUGAAAGACAGAGAGCAAUGUGAAGACAUCAAAGAAUGUGCAGGUCUGCCAUGAAAUGGUUUAUCCAGGGCUAAGUACAGAGAGGAAUAUAGAAGGGCUGUUGACAGAUCUUGUGUGGUGCCCCCAUGGUUCAACAGACUGAUUGAUAGGUAAUGGUAAGAAUUUAAUGUAUUUUGUAAAAAAAUUAUAAAAAUUGGUGUUAAUUACAUGAAGGGAUUUAAUCACUCUUUUUUUAUUUCCAGAAAAUAAUACCAGGGUUAUGGUCCUUUCACCAUUAAGUUCCAGGAUGAAGAAUGAAAGACAGAGAGCAAUGUGAAGACAUCAAAGAAUGUGCAGGUCUGCCAUGAAAUGGUUUAUCCAGGGCUAAGUACAGAGAGGAAUAUAGAAGGGCUGUUGACAGAUCUUGUGUGGUGCCCCCAUGGUUCAACAGACUGAUUGAUAGGUAAUGGUAAGAAUUUAAUGUAUUUUGAAAAGAAAAUUUAAAAAAUUGGUGUUAAUUACAUUAAGGGACUUAAUCACUCUUUUUUUAUUUCCAGAAAAUGA